rnacentral:lncRNA from 1 species
UUACAAUUACAAAAAAGCAUCAAAUACCUUCUAAACAAGCUAGAGGAUUAGUGCACCAAUUGUAAAAAAUGUAACAAGAAUUGUGUCCUUUCCUAUUGAGAAACCAUUGCCAAGAGAAAAACUUGAUUUUAGAAAUCAAAGCAUCCAAGCUAAUUACACCUCCUUUGAAAAUAAUAUUGUUUCUCAACAACCAUAUGCUCCAAGUUGUUGUACACCAAAUAAGGUGUCUAACUUUGUUGUGUCUGCUGCUCUUAAGAAAGCUUCCAAAAGCCAAAAAGUGUCCCCAUCCAGUUUCUAAGGAAAUGAAUUCAGUCCCCAUCCAAGAGUG